UACGAGGGGGGCGAGCGUUUGUUCGGAAUUAUUGGGCGUAAAGGGUGCGUAGGCGGCGCGGUAAGUCGGGUGUGAAAUCUCGGAGCUUAACUCCGAAACUGCAUUCGAUACUGCCGUGCUUGAGGACUGGAGAGGAGACUGGAAUUUACGGUGUAGCGGUGAAAUGCGUAGAUAUCGUAAGGAAGACCAGUGGCGAAGGCGGGUCUCUGGACAGUUCCUGACGCUGAGGCACGAAGGCCAGGGGAGCAAACGGGAUUAGAACCGUACCAGU
rnacentral:rRNA from 1 species